GUGUGACCAACAGAACAGGGCACUAGUGAUCGUCACUUCUGAGGUUAGGUUAUGAAAGGCUGCAGCUUCCAUUUUAGGUUUUCCUUCUGGAACAGUCGCUCUUGGGGGAGCCAGCUGCCACGUCCUAAGGACACCUAGCCUGUGGAGACACCCACACGACAAGGAACUGAGGUCACCAGCCAGCAGCCAGUGGGGCAAGGAGGCUUCCUCCCUGUCAUCGAAGCAGGUCAGCCCCCAGCUCGCCUUUCUAACGGUGACAGCCUCACAGAACAGUGUGACGGCAACCUCGAGAGGCACCUGGCUGAUGUUGGAGUUAGCAGGAACUUGACAAAUGGCCACCAAAUCAAUGACAGUCAGUUAGGUGGCAGGAACAAGUUUCCCCUGGAUCUGACGAUGGUCAGGAGAGGUGUCCACCUAGCCUCUGCAGGUGCAGAGCUGAAAGAGCAGAGUCAGACUCCUGGUGACGUCCGUCAUGCAGCAAUGAAUGAAUGAAU
ensembl:lncRNA